AGAGAGAGAGAGAGAGAGAACGACGGAAAGAGAGAUAGAGACAGAGAGAGAGAGAGAGAGCUCCGGAAUAAUCAAUGCAGAAAUAAAGCAGUCGACCGAGGUUAGGAAUCGCAGUUUCUCCGGUGAAGCUCGAGCAGUGCCGGUCAGUCGCGAUGGGGAACCGGGGGAUGGAGGACCUGAUCCCGCUGGUCAACCGAAUGCAGGAUGCGUUCUCCGCCAUCGGACAGAACGCGAACCUGGACCUGCCGCAGAUCGCGGUGGUGGGCGGACAGAGCGCCGGGAAGAGCUCCGUGCUCGAGAACUUCGUGGGGAAAGACUUCCUCCCUCGUGGGUCUGGUAUCGUCACGCGGCGUCCGCUCGUCCUGCAGCUCAUCAACUGCCCCACAGAAUAUGCCGAGUUCCUCCACUGCAAGGGGAAGAAGUUCACGGACUUCGACGAGGUUCGUCAGGAGAUCGAGGCGGAGACGGAUCGGAUCACGGGACAGAAUAAGGGCAUCUCUCCCGUACCCAUAAACCUGCGCGUCUACUCUCCCAACGUGCUGAACCUGACUCUGGUGGAUCUUCCGGGGAUGACUAAAGUGCCGGUGGGAGAUCAGCCGGCGGACAUCGAGCACCAGAUCAAAGACAUGCUGAUGCAGUUUGUGACCAAAGACAACUGUCUGCUGCUGGCCGUGUCUCCCGCCAACUCUGACCUCGCCAACUCUGACGCCCUGAAGAUCGCCAAAGAAGUCGACCCGCAGGGUUUGAGGACGAUCGGUGUGAUCACUAAACUGGAUCUCAUGGAUGAAGGGACAGAUGCUCGAGAUAUCCUGGAGAACAAGCUGCUGCCGCUGAGGAGGGGCUACAUCGGUGUGGUGAACCGCAGUCAGAAAGACAUCGACGGGAAGAAGGACAUUAACGCAGCGAUGGCGGCCGAGAGGAAGUUUUUUCUGUCUCAUCCCAGCUACAGACACCUGGCUGACCGCAUGGGAACGCCGUUCCUGCAGAAAACCCUCAACCAGCAACUGACCAAUCACAUCCGUGACACGCUCCCCGGGCUCCGUGCUAAACUUCAGAGCCAGCUGCUGUCCAUCGAGAAGGAGGUGGAGGAAUACAAGAACUUCCGUCCCGACGAUCCGUCCCGGAAGACCAAGGCGCUGCUGCAGAUGGUGCAGCAGUUCUCGGUGGACUUCGAGAAGCGCAUCGAGGGCUCUGGAGAUCAGAUAGACACCUAUGAGCUGUCUGGAGGAGCCAGAAUCAACCGCAUCUUCCACGAGCGCUUCCCCUUCGAGCUGGUGAAGAUGGAGUUUGACGAGAAGGAGCUGCGCAAGGAGAUCAGCUACGCCAUCAAGAACAUCCACGGCAUCAGGACGGGCCUGUUCACCCCCGACCUGGCCUUCGAGGCCAUAGUGAAAAAGCAGAUCCAAAAGCUAAACGGGCCGUGCCUGAAAUGUAUAGAUAUGGUCGUGAGCGAGCUCACCUCCACCAUUCGCAAAUGUAGUGAGAAGCUGGCCCAGUAUCCCAUGCUGAGAGAAGAGAUGGAGAGGAUCGUCACGCAGCACAUCCGAGACCGCGAGAGUCGCACUAAAAACCAGGUGCUGCUGCUGAUCGACAUCGAGCUGGCGUAUAUGAACACCAACCAUGAAGACUUCAUCGGGUUUGCCAAUGCCCAGCAGAGGAGCAGUCAGAUGAACAAGAAGAAGGCGGCCGGCAAUCAGGAUGAAAUCAUGGUGAUCAGGAAGGGCUGGCUGACCAUCAAUAACAUCGGCAUCAUGAAGGGAGGCGCUAAAGAGUACUGGUUUGUCCUGACGGCCGAGUCUCUGUCCUGGUACAAAGACGACGAGGAGAAAGAGAAGAAGUACAUGCUGCAGGUGGACAAUCUGAAGUUUAGAGAUGUGGAGAAGGGCUUCAUGUCCAGCAAACACAUCUUUGCCCUGUUCAACACCGAGCAAAGGAACGUGUAUAAGGACUACCGUCAGCUGGAGCUGGCCUGUGAGAGUCAGGAGGAGGUGGACGGAUGGAAAGCGUCGUUCCUGCGGGCCGGCGUCUAUCCCGAGCGCGUGGUGGAGAAGGAAAAGAGCGACGCCGGAGACGAGAACGGCUCGGACGGGUUCAUGCACUCCAUGGACCCUCAGCUGGAGAGGCAGGUGGAGACCAUCAGAAACCUGGUGGACUCUUACAUGAGCAUCGUCAACAAGACUGUGCGAGACCUGAUGCCCAAGACCAUCAUGCACCUGAUGAUCAAUAAUACGAAGGAGUUCAUCAACGCGGAGCUGCUGGCUCAGCUGUACUCGUGUGGAGAUCAGAACACGCUGAUGGAGGAGUCGGCGGAGCAGGCCCAGCGGCGCGACGAGAUGCUGCGGAUGUACCACGCUCUCAAAGAAGCGCUGAACAUCAUCGGAGACAUCAGCACCACCACCGUCUCCACCUCUCUGCCUCCGCCCGUGGACGACUCGUGGCUCCAGGUGCAGCGCACCGGCUCCGGAGGAAGGUCUCCGGCGACCAGCCCGACCCCUCAGAGACGGGCCCCUCCUCCGGGGCCUCCGGCACGCCCAGGUUCCCGCGGCUCGGCCCCGGGGCCCCCUGCUGCCGGAGGGCCGCCCGUUCCCUCUCGCCCGGGGGCCUCCCCGGACCCCUUCGGUGGGCCCCCCCCUCAGGUCCCGUCUCGGCCGAACCGCGCUCCUCCCAGCGUGCCCAGCCGCGGAAUGUGAGCCUCUGAGCGCCGGAGUAAGUGCAGUGGUGUGGAAUUACAAUCAGUGACCAAUGAGGACUAACGCUUCUGUGGUCCCUGAGCUCACGGGCCAGAAGACGACACCAAACUCCCCGAAGGCCGGUAAAACACAGACGGCCCCUCUCGCCCCGAGAGCCCCUUUUCUCCACGCGACCCUUAGCAUUGUUUUCUUCUUCUGUUCCUCCUCACAUCGAGCAAAAGAACCCAAACCCACCAGCACUACAGAAACAACACGAACGACGAGGAACCCAGAGUCCUUCCAGAUGUUUCCUGCAUCCUCGGUUUCUUCAGCCUUCUGUGACGCUCCGAUAUCAAAAGCGUCAAACCUUCCAGAAGCUCCUUACAUUGUGAUCAUUAACCCCCUCCCAACCUGUACAAGUUUCCCUACGAACACGUAAAGAAAAUAUCCCGCAGAACCAAACGAUUUCGGGUCCCAUCGACUUCCAGAGUGGACAAACAAACUGAAAGUCAAUGGGACCCAUUUGCUCCCCAGCAUUCUUCAGAGUAUCUACCAUUUAUUCCCCAGACUGCAAACGAUCAUUAUUUAUGUCUCUUUGUCUAGUUAAAAAGAUGUUUAGCUCCUGGGAAACCUGAAAAAAAACGCUCUCAGGUACGAGGACGUGUGUUCACCUUCAGCGCUCAAAUCAUUCGUUCGUCGAUUCGAGAAUUGAAUUAGAGAGUGCAGCGUCUUCAGUUCAAGUCAUUUUAAACGCAGUGGCACGGUUUUAGGGUGAAUAGACGUCCUGGAGUUCGGUGAGACGCUCGUGUGUUUAUCUUGGAUUUAAUAAAGCGCUAGAGAGAAUGCUGAAGACUGUCCGGACGGAUGAUCUCGGGAGGGUUUGCCUCACACAGGCUGUGUUUGGAAUCGAAUACUCUCUGUACAGUACAUACUGUACACUGCUUACUAUUCUCAACAAAUAGCAUGCAAAACCCGACUCAUUGCACGUUUAAUUCAGCGAUUUUUUUGCAUUUAAUUUGGGUAUUCCUCUAGAUCAUCUGCACUCAUAGCGUCCAUGCAGACAUGGUAGCAGUAGUAUGAUAUUCUGAACAUGGCCACGUGAUUAAAGGUGCAGUAAGAUUGGAUUUUUUUCCCCCUGGGACGUUUAAAAUAAUUCAAAGCACCAUUUUUCACCAGUGUGUGGACGAACCGCUCCUGUGCAUUGAAAUUAUGCAAGUCAGAUUUUCCUCUCGUUUAAGGUUCGUUACGAUCUAGCAAAAAAAAAAAAAAAGGAAAAGAAAAGUUCCAUAUCAUCAUAUACGUUAUAUAAAUAUCACCGCUGGUCUAUGCAUAGAAACCAUUCCAGUUUGUUCAGGUGUUGUUUGUGUUUUGUUGAGGAGUAUGAACACAAGCCUCCCCAGCGGUGGACUGUAAUUAUGUCGUUUGUUGUAAUACUUAUGAAGAUAAUAAAGCCCCUGUUGCUGAUAGUUGACGUUGUGGCAUGACCGGACCGUUUCAUCUGUACCACACACCAGUAGCACGUUUCCGUCUUCGACACCCGCACCGGACCUUCCCACAAUCCACUCUGUGAGUCUUAGUAAAACCCACGAACCGGAAAAGAUUUCCCGUUAUUUAAGAGUUUGUCCCGGGCAUACCGUAUCUCGAGUGUGUCGCGUAUCUUUGUGGUGCAUUUAUGCAAAUUGUGCUUCCACCGUUUAGACUAGACCGCCAUGUAUGAUUACUGAAUAUUAAAUUAUUAUGGGUAAGUGAUUAAUUUAAACGAAGCUUGCGUGCGGAGGAAUAAACCGGGCCUCUUUCUGUGUUUGGACAGAAAGGUGUAACACAGUGUAACAGGUGAAUGAAUGAAUGCGUGUCAUCAUUAAAGUUCAGUGUAACAACA